CCUUCUUAGAGAGAAACAUCACCUUUUUCUAUUAAGAUAAAGGACUUUGGUCAAAAUGACAUUACACAGACUUCUGCUUCCUGUUUAUGAAGCCAGCUUUUUCUAUAGGCCAUGUUCUUUUGUUUUUAGCAGAGACUGCAACCGUGGACGGCAUGGAAAAUGGAAGAGGAGGAAGAAGAAGAAAGACCAACUCAACAACUGGUAA
rnacentral:lncRNA from 10 species